CCGGCGCACGGGUGAGUAACACGUAUGCAAUCCACCUGUAACAGGGGGAUAACCCGGAGAAAUCCGGACUAAUACCCCAUAGUAUGGGCGCUCCGCAUGGAGAGUUCAUUAAAGAGAGCAAUUUUGGUUACAGACGAGCAUGCGCUCCAUUAGCCAGUUGGCGGGGUAACGGCCCACCAAGGCGACGAUGGAUAGGGGUUCUGAGAGGAAGGUCCCCCACAUUGGAACUGAGACACGGUCCAA
rnacentral:rRNA from 1 species